GGUAGUGAUGGUGACUUGUCUUUCUCAUGAUAACAUGAGUAUAACUGCCCAUGAGGUUUGUCAGAUCAACUCUCUGUAUGCAAUAAUGAUGACGAUAAAGUUGGUAUAGGUGGUGACUUGCCUUUCUCAUGAUAACAUGAUUAUUACAUCCCGUGAGAUAUGUCAGACCAACUCUCUGUAUGCAAUAAUGAUUAUGAUGAAGGUGGUUCUGGCAGUUACUUGCUUUCUCAUAAAUACAUUGAUAAUUACAUCCCGAGAGAUUUGUCAGACCAAUUUAUGUAUGCAAUAAUGAUGAUGAUAAAGGUUGUGUACAUGAAGGUGGUGACUUGUCUUUCUCUUGAUUACAUGAUUAUAUGUGCCUGUGAAAUCUGUGAGACCAACUCUCUGUAUGCAAUAAAGAUUAUGAUGAAGGUGGUAGUGGCGGUUACUUUCCUUUCUCAUGAAUACAUUGAUAAUUACAUCCCGUGAAAUUUGUCAGACCAACUCUAUGUAUGCAAUAAUGAUGAUGAUAAAGGUGGUAGCGGUGGUGACUGGCCUUUCUCAUGAUAACAUGAUUAUAACUGCCUGUGAGAUUUGUCAGACCAAGUCUAAGCAUGCAAUAAUGAUGAUGAUGAAGGUGGUAGUGAUGGUGACUUGUCUUUCUCAUGAUAACACAAGUAUAACUGCCUGUGAGGUUUGUCAGAUCAACUCUCUGUAUGCAAUAAUGAUGAUGAUAAAGGUGGUAUAGGUGGUGACUUGCCUUUCUCAUAAAACAUGAUUAUUACAUCC